GACGAACGCUGGCGGCGUGCUUAACACAUGCAAGUCGAACGGAAAGGCCCUGCUUUUGUGGGGUGCUCGAGUGGCGAACGGGUGAGUAACACGUGAGUAACCUGCCCUUGACUUUGGGAUAACUUCAGGAAACUGGGGCUAAUACCGGAUAGGAGCUCCUGCUGCAUGGUGGGGGUUGGAAAGUUUCGGCGGUUGGGGAUGGACUCGCGGCUUAUCAGCUUGUUGGUGGGGUAGUGGCUUACCAAGGCUUUGACGGGUAGCCGGCCUGAGAGGGUGACCGGCCACAUUGGGACUGGGAUACGGCCCAGACUCCUACGGGAGGCAGCAGUGGGGAAUAUUGCACAAUGGGCGGAAGCCUGAUGCAGCAACGCCGCGUGCGGGAUGACGGCCUUCGGGUUGUAAACCGCUUUCGCCUGUGACGAAGCGUGAGUGACGGUCAUGGGUAAAGAAGCACCGGCUAACUACGU
rnacentral:rRNA from 1 species